CCCGCCACUAUUCCUGUCUGUCUUGAGUGACAUGAGUAUAUUCCAGUGGAGGCUCAGAUUGACCCGGCUUUAGGAAACAGAGCUGCCCAAACUUAAUGGACAACCCUGUGCCGAAAAGUCUGGAACACCA